rnacentral:rRNA from 1 species
AAAUUGAAGAGUUUGAUCAUGGCUCAGAUUGAACGCUGGCGGCAGGCCUAACACAUGCAAGUCGAACGGUAACAGGAAGAAGCUUGCUUCUUUGCUGACGAGUGGCGGACGGGUGAGUAAUGUCUGGGAAACUGCCUGAUGGAGGGGGAUAACUACUGGAAACGGUAGCUAAUACCGCAUAACGUCGCAAGACCAAAGAGGGGGACCUUCGGGCCUCUUGCCAUCGGAUGUGCCCAGAUGGGAUUAGCUAGUAGGUGGGGUAACGGCUCACCUAGGCGACGAUCCCUAG